rnacentral:rRNA from 1 species
GACGAACGCUGGCGGCGUGCUUAACACAUGCAAGUCGAACGGAAAGGCCCUGCUUUUGUGGGGUGCUCGAGUGGCGAACGGGUGAGUAACACGUGAGUAACCUGCCCUUGACUUUGGGAUAACUUCAGGAAACUGGGGCUAAUACCGGAUAGGAGCUCCUGCUGCAUGGUGGGGGUUGGAAAGUUUCGGCGGUUGGGGAUGGACUCGCGGCUUAUCAGCUUGUUGGUGGGGUAGUGGCUUACCAAGGCUUUGACGGGUAGCCGGCCUGAGAGGGUGACCGGCCACAUUGGGACUGAGAUACGGCCCAAACUCCUACGGGAGGCAGCAGUGGGGAAUAUUGCACAAUGGGCGGAAGCCUGAUGCAGCAACGCCGCGUGCGGGAUGACGGCCUUCUGGUUGUAAACCGCUUUCGCCUGUGACGAAGCGUGAGUGACGGUAAUGGGUAAAGAAGCACCGGCUAACUACGUG